GGUAGGACCACGGCCUCACCGACAUGGCCCCAGCUAAUUGGUGGAUCCUGGGUUCAACCCUCCCGGAAUCCGAGCGUGGGUCCGGGGCCGGGAAGAAAAGAAAGUCACCCAGGACUACAAUUCCCACAAUGCACUACAUGGGCUUCUCUCGACGUGUGCUCUUGGAAAACGUAGUACAUUGUGGGGCAAGAUUUAAAAAUGCAGGUCCAUAAAGACAGAGAUGAGAAAGCGACAUACAUUCAGGAUAUAGACUUGGUCCAAGGAGCAGAAAGAUACUCAGAUUCCCUUCUGGUUUAUGUGGAAGACGGUCAUGUUAAAUUUCUCUUGAGAACACUCAUUGAGAGGGCCUCCAGGCCUUUCCCAUCAUCAUUGCUGAUGGAGCCCAUGACCAACACUUACCACGGAGGUGUGGGGGAGCAAUGGGAAGAAUCCUGGAACACAGUCCCCUGUGCUCAUCACCAUCAUAGUGUUGCUCCAGAUGUAAUUCAGGGGUUAACAAUGACGAUGCCUAGGACCCAUCUCAAGCAUAUGGAAUGAGGAUCUCUGACCAGAGGAUCUUCAUUUGCAAUCUGGCCGUGUGAUGUGCAAAGCUGAAGAUCAGUGGAGACCAGCCCUCUUGGAUGGCAAUAAGCCCUGAACCAGAUAAACUGGAACACCAAAAAUUUUGCUGUCUUAUAUUUAAUGGUGAGCUGUCCCUGAGGGAAAUAGCAGAGGGGGAGGAAAGCCAGAGGGGCGUCCUGAUUUUUAUUUCUUCCAUCUGGCAGUGUAGUUAACUCAGGAUCAUUCCUCAGAUGGAAUCAUGUCCCUGAAAUGGUGACAGAGAGGUUACUGGGGGCAAAUGGGGUGGAAGGCUUGAUCGGGGGCAGAGGUUACCUAUCUUGGGGGAUAAACAUCUCUUCCUUUUAGAUUAUGCUCUCAGCCCCUCUCCUCUUGGGCGAGACUUGGUUGGAUAACCUGGGGACUGUUCCCCACUAUCUUCUAGGAGAGCACAUUUCAGCUUUGUCUGUCUUCUCCUCUUUGCCUUGUCGACUCAUUCAAAAUCUAUUCUGAGAGACUUUCCUUCCCCACCAUACCUGAAACAGACUAUCAUCUCUCAUUGCGCUGUGAUUCUGUAUUUUCUUUAAAGAUCCUCUGAUGGGGCACCCAGGUGGCUCAGUUGGUUCGACGUCUGACUUCGGCUCAGGUCAUGAUCUCACAGCUCGUGGGUUUGAGCCCCACAUCGGGCUCUGUGAUGACAGCUCAGAGCCUGGAGCCUGCUUCAUAUUCUGUGUCUCCCUCUCUCUCUGCUCCUCCCCUGCUCACACUUUGUGUGUGUGUGUGUGUGUCUCUCUCUCUCAAAAAUAAGUAAACAUUGAAAAACAUUUAAAAAAAAUAAAGAAUUCUGACAUUAAUAGGUUACUUCCA
rnacentral:lncRNA from 1 species